GAUGAACGCUGGCGGCGUGCUUAACACAUGCAAGUCGAACGGAAAGGCUCCUGCUUGCAGGGGUACUCGAGUGGCGAACGGGUGAGUAACACGUGGGUGAUCUGCCCUGCACUUCGGGAUAAGCCUGGGAAACUGGGUCUAAUACCGGAUAGGACGAUGGUUUGGAUGCCAUUGUGGAAAGUUUUUCGGUGUGGGAUGAGCUCGCGGCCUAUCAGCUUGUUGGUGGGGUAAUGGCCUACCAAGGCGUCGACGGGUAGCCGGCCUGAGAGGGUGUACGGCCACAUUGGAACUGAGAUACGGCCCAGACUCCUACGGGAGGCAGCAGUGGGGAAUAUUGCACAAUGGGCGCAAGCCUGAUGCAGCGACGCCGCGUGGGGGAUGACGGCCUUCGGGUUGUAAACUCCUUUCGCUAGGGACGAAGCGCAAGUGACGGUACCUGGAGAAGAAGCACCGGCUAACUACGUG
rnacentral:rRNA from 1 species